GGUUUUGUAGUGUUCAACACAUUAGAUUGCAAGUCUUAAAGCGCGGGGUAACACCAGCCAAAAUCU
rnacentral:tRNA from 1 species